rnacentral:rRNA from 1 species
UACGGAGGGUGCAAACGUUGCUCGGAAUCAUUGGGCGUAAAGCGCACGUAGGCGGUCUGUUAUGUCGGAUGUGAAAGCCCUCGGCUCAACUGAGGAAGUGCAUCCGAAACUGGCAGGCUAGAGUACUAAAGAGGGUCGCGGAAUUCCCGGUGUAGAGGUGAAAUUCGUAGAUAUCAGGAGGAACACCGGUGGCGAAGGCGGCGACCUGGGUAGAUACUGACGCUGAGGUGCGAAAGCGUGGGGAGCAAACAGG